rnacentral:pre_miRNA from 1 species
ACCUGUUUAUGCGUGGCUAGUAUUCAGCACCAAGGACAGGCAUAUUUGUGUGUGUGUGUAUAGUGUUCAGCACCAAGGACAGGCAUGUUUGUGU